rnacentral:rRNA from 1 species
GAUGAACGCUGGCGGCGUGCCUAAUACAUGCAAGUCGAGCGAACGGACGAGAAGCUUGCUUCUCUGAUGUUAGCGGCGGACGGGUGAGUAACACGUGGAUAACCUACCUAUAAGACUGGGAUAACUUCGGGAAACCUGAGCUAAUACCGGAUGAUAUUUUGAACCGCAUGGUUCAAAAGUGAAAGACGGUCUUGCUGUCACUUAUAGAUGGUACCGCGCUGCAUUAGCUAGUUGGUAAGGUAACGGCUUACCAAGGCAACGAUGCAUAGCCGACCUGAGAGGGUGAUCGGCCACACUGGAACUGAGACACGGUCCAGACUCCUACGGGAGGCAGCAGUAGGGAAUCUUCCGCAAUGGGCGAAAGCCUGACGGAGCAACGCCGCGUGAGUGAUGAAGGUCUUCGGAUCGUAAAACUCUGUUAUUAGGGAAGAACAUAUGUGUAAGUAACUGUGCACAUCUUGACGGUACCUAAUCAGAAAGCCACGGCUAACUACGUG